CGUGUGUCCAUCCACAGUUCUGUGUGUCCAUCCGGGGCUCUGUCCCUCUGUCCGUGUGUCCAUCCGGGGCUCUGUCCGUGGCUCUGUCCGUGUGUCCGUGUGUCCAUCCAGAGCUCUGUCCGUUGCGUCUGUGUGUCCGGGGGAUCUGGGCUCUGUCCGUGUGUCUGGGAGUCUGUCCGUGUGUCCAUCCAGGGCUCCGUCUGUCUGUCUGUCUGGGGCUCUGUCCGUGUGUCCGUGUGUCCAUCCGGGGCUCUGUCUGUGUGUCCGUGCCGUGUCCGUGUGUCUGUCCCGUGUC